UACGUAUGGAGCAAGCGUUAUCCGGAUUUACUGGGUGUAAAGGGAGUGUAGGUGGCCAUGCAAGUCAGAAGUGAAAAUCCAGGGCUCAACCCCGGAACUGCUUUUGAAACUGUAAGGCUGGAGUGCAGGAGGGGUGAGUGGAAUUCCUAGUGUAGCGGUGAAAUGCGUAGAUAUUAGGAGGAACACCAGUGGCGAAGGCGGCUCACUGGACUGUAACUGACACUGAGGCUCGAAAGCGUGGGGAGCAAACAGG
rnacentral:rRNA from 1 species